ACACAUGCAAGUCGAACGGGAAGAGAUGAAGAGCUUGCUCUUUAUCGAAUCCAGUGGCAAACGGGUGAGUAACACGUAAACAACCUGCCUUCAGGAUGGGGACAACAGACGGAAACGACUGCUAAUACCGAAUACGUUCCACGGGCCGCAUGACCUGUGGAAGAAAGGGUAGCCUCUACCUGUAAGCUAUCGCCUGAAGAGGGGUUUGCGUCUGAUUAGGCAGUUGGUGGGGUAACGGCCCACCAAACCAACGAUCAGUAGCCGGUCUGAGAGGAUGAACGGCCACACUGGAACUGAGACACGGUCCAGACUCCUACGGGAGGCAGCAGUGGGGAAUCUUCCGCAAUGGACGAAAGUCUGACGGAGCAACGCCGCGUGAGUGAAGACGGCCUUCGGGUUGUAAAGCUCUGUGAUCCGGGACGAAAGAGCCUGAGGUAAAUAGCCUAAGGAAGUGACGGUACCGGAAAAGCAAGCCACGGCUAACUACGUGCCAGCAGCCGCGGUAAUACGUAGGUGGCAAGCGUUGUCCGGAAUUAUUGGGCGUAAAGCGCGCGCAGGCGGCUUACUAAGUCCAUCUUAAAAGUGCGGGGCUUAACCCCGUGAUGGGAUGGAAACUGGAAAGCUGGAGUAUCGGAGAGGAAAGUGGAAUUCCUAGUGUAGCGGUGAAAUGCGUAGAGAUUAGGAAGAACACCGGUGGCGAAGGCGACUUUCUGGACGAAAACUGACGCUGAGGCGCGAAAGCGUGGGGAGCAAACAGGAUUAGAUACCCUGGUAGUCCACGCCGUAAACGAUGGAUACUAGGUGUAGGAGGUAUCGACCCCUUCUGUGCCGGAGUUAACGCAAUAAGUAUCCCGCCUGGG
rnacentral:rRNA from 1 species